rnacentral:rRNA from 1 species
GUCUCAGGCCGUAUCAGCCUGAAGGCGCCCGAUCUCGUCUGAUCUCGGAAGCUAAGCAGGGUCGGGCCUGGUUCGGAUCUUGGAUGGGAGACCACCUGGGAAUCCCGGGGGCUCGAGGCU